AUUGAACGCUGGCGGAAUGCUUUACACAUGCAAGUCGAACGGCAGCACGGGGGCAACCCUGGUGGCGAGUGGCGAACGGGUGAGUAAUACAUCGGAACGUGCCCAGUCGUGGGGGAUAACGUAGCGAAAGCUACGCUAAUACCGCAUACGAACUCUGGUUGAAAGCGGGGGAUCGCAAGACCUCGCGCGAUUGGAGCGGCCGAUGGCAGAUUAGGUAGUUGGUGGGGUAAAGGCUCACCAAGCCGACGAUCUGUAGCUGGUCUGAGAGGACGACCAGCCACACUGGGACUGAGACACGGCCCAGACUCCUACGGGAGGCAGCAGUGGGGAAUUUUGGACAAUGGGCGCAAGCCUGAUUCAGCCAUUCCGCGUGCAGGAUGAAGGCCCUCGGGUUGUAAACUGCUUUUGUACGGAACGAAAAGGCUUUCUCUAAUACAGAGAGCUCAUGACGGUACCGUAAGAAUAAGCACCGGCUAACUACGUGCCAGCAGCCGCGGUAAUAC
rnacentral:rRNA from 1 species